AUCAACAAACACAGUUUGGUUCUUCAAAAUCAUGAAGAGAUUAUAGCAGCCAGGUAAUAUUUUGUGCUUGUCAUUUCGAAGUUUCUAAUCAUUUGUCUCAAUUGAGGUGUUUUGUCAUUUUUGUUACUGAAUUGAGAAUAUUGAUUGUACCUCUGGAAUGCAGUUUGUAGUGCAGCGAAAAAACAAACACUGCAAUGGGCUGCUUGGACACGUCAAGAGGAGGAAAGCUUCUGCACUGCAUUGCGGCAAGUUGGCAAGGCAUUUUUUGCUGACAUGGUUUUUGGUUUUUGGAAUUAUUUCUUACGAUAUAUCCUGACUCAUAUGAUGUCUUUUAACAGAAUUUCGACUUUGUCUUGAUGACAAAAAAUUCUAAAGAUACUAAUGCUACAAUGCUUCAAUGUAGUUGUGGAGUUUAUGUGAAGCAUUUAUCGGUUAUGCUUCGCUACUUCCAGGUUGCAACUAUGGAGCGGAAUGGAUGAGAAUGCUGUUGGCACCUGUGCUGAACUUAUAUUUGCUCCUAUCGAUGCCUCUUUUGCUGAUGAUGCACAUCUUUUGCCUUCUGGUUUUCGCAUCAUUCCUCUCGAUUCU